rnacentral:tRNA from 1 species
GCCCAGAUGGCGGAACUGGUAGACGCGGCGGACUCAAAAUCCGCUUUCUGAAAGGAAGUGGGGGUUCGAUUCCCCCUUUGGGCA